CAAAAGGUAGUUUAUAUAAAAAUUAUAAUUUUGGAGAUUAUUGAUAAAGAUAAUUCUUUCUUUUUGA
rnacentral:tRNA from 1 species